GGAGUUAGCCGGUGCUUCUUCUGUGAGUGAUGUCCUUCCUGCCGGCUAUUAACCCGCAGGCCUUCUUCCUCACUGAAAGUGCUUUACAACCCGAAGGCCUUCUUCACACACGCGGCAUGGCUGGAUCAGGGUUGCCCCCAUUGUCCAAUAUUCCCCACUGCUGCCUCCCGUAGGAGUCUGGGCCGUGUCUCAGUCCCAGUGUGGCUGAUCAUCCUCUCAGACCAGCUACGGAUCGUCGCCUUGGUGAGCCGUUACCUCACCAACCAGCUAAUCCGACAUAGGCUCAUCCGAUAGCGCGAGGCCCGAAGGUCCCCCGCUUUCCCCCGUAGGGCCGUAUGCGGUAUUAGCCUGGGUUUCCCCAGGGUUAUCCCCCACUACCCGGGCAGAUUCCUAUGCAUUACUCACCCGUCCGCCGCUCGCCACCAGGGAGCAAGCUCCCCGUGCUGCCGCUCGACUUGCAUGUGUUAGGCCUGCCGCCAGCGUUCAAUCUGAGCCAUAAUCAAACUCUGA
rnacentral:rRNA from 1 species